CGUGUUCGCGCGAGGACGCGCGGAGCCGAGAUUCGAGGCCGAGGCGACGGGCGAGAGAGAGAGAGAAAGAGAAAGAGUGUGUGAGGGGGCCACGAUCCUUCCCCCGGGCUCCCACAACCCUCGUGCGCGCAUCGUGUGCAUGCCGCCGUCGCCGCGCCACCGCCACCGUCACCACCGCCGUGGGGGUUGCCGCCGUAAAUGGUGCCGAGCCCCGCGACCCCGCGACCCCAUCCACCCGCGAGCCAGGUGGGAGCAACGGCGGAUUCCCUCGGCGUCCCUCUCACUUCGGCGACCUGCAUGAAGGGCACCAGAUAGGGCCUCGUAAGAAUGAGGCGGACCGAUCAUGACGGCCACGUCGCGCGGCAGGGUCCGCCGCCCUUCAAGGUGCUGGCCGUCCCCGACAGCAUGUACUUGU